GCACCACCGCGACGUCAGAAACUGCCAAGCUGAGCAAUGCAUCACGGAUAAAAUAUCGCGAAUACGUGAACGUUCUUUUGUGUGUAUACGUGCAGGCAGCCGGAGAAUUCGUUUUGACAGCGUGCACCAGCAAUUCUCGUAAUACAUACUUCUUUCGAGAAUUAGAAAACAAACGGUGAAAUUUCGAGCAAGCAUUUGGAUCACUCGUGUCACGCUACGUUCUCACGGUGCAUAUUAACACGUCGACUGCCAUGGGGGUCACCGGUGACCGGCACUCGAUUUGACUAUAACGGCGUGAGGGUCACCGGUGACCGGCGACGCAGCAAAUAUUAAAAGUACAUAGCACGAUUGUUUGAAAAAAGGACAAUCGUAAUAAUUGUCUGCAACGCCGUAGGGGUCACCGGUGGUGGACCGUGCCAUGAAAAAGCAUGAUUUUAUAGCUCAUUUUAUUUGCUGCAAAUAAUAUUUCAACAUAAUAUGCAUCGCAUAAUGAAAAGUUCGCGUCGGCGCCUUGAGCAAACCAUGGAAAAUUCGUGUGGCAGUCAACGUGUUAAAACUAAACCAUGUACGUCUUUUUACGCACUUUCGACCCACCUCUUUAUACAGGACCUUUUAGUCGCAAUAAAUUUCGACGAAUACGAAAAAUUCCGCGAACAUUGAAAAUUCCUUUCUCUUAAGAUGUUUCAUACUUUCUGAUUACGACGAUUGUUACGAUUUGUACUGUGACUACACUUGGGUAAUGUAUCUAUUUGGUGUAAUAACAUCAGUAUACUUUUUAUAAACUAACAAAACAAUAUGUAAAUGGCUUCAUUUACAUCUUUAGACAAAAUUAUAUUUGCACGUUAUUUCAGUAUUUGAGCAGACGUUCGCAAUUGAACAGAGGUUUACAGCCAACCAAUAAAGGAAACCAAUAUCUCGAAACGUAAAGUAUAAUUAAAAAUGAUCGUCUCUAUUCGUUUUCGUUUCGGAAAUCACCGUUUCGCGCGGUUGGCUCGGUAUAAAUAAUAGCUAAUUUACUUCCUGAUGUAUGUGGUUUUAAGUGGGAAACGAUUGAAAUAGUGGCUUUCACGCCGGUCUCAAAUAGUUGGCCGCUAUGGUUCCGGUACUUAGUUACCGGGGUUUGGAAUUAGAAGUAUAAUCUUUUAACGCUGUUGGCACGCAACACACCUGACUUAUCCCCUGAACGGAGGUUGAACCGGAGAGUGCUCGCAUAAUUACAGUCUCCACGUGUAUUUAAUAAAGACAGGGGAAUUUAUAUGCGAAUGAAUUUCAAGUAUUCCGAGAAAAAAUUGUUGGCCAUAAUAAUAGGUUGGUGAAAAUAUGGACAUGCGCUCGGUGUUCGGUAUCACCUGUCGACACGAAAAAUUUGUAUGUCAAAGCUGCGACAUAUUGUGGGAAAGAUUACGGCAUAAAUUCAGGUAAUUCCCUAUUAAAAUCCUGUAAUACUUUAUGCUCCAACGAAUCACAUCGUAUUUUAUUAGAUCGGCUUGCAAGUAAAUUUGACUUUCUUCUUUCGUUAAAUAUAAAAUGUAUUCGUUAUUGCGGUUAGCGGGAUUGUAUGAUUUUUAUUUUGUAAAUUAUUAAUGUGGUUUUCUUUGAAAUUCUGACGAUAGAAAUCGCUUUAUAAAGUACGACCAUAAUCUUAGGAAUAUAUUCCGUGAACAGGGUCAAUUAAGGAGAAAAAAAUACAGAAUGUCGGUUACAAAUAUCUGAUCGUGAGCGAAAUCAGUUUAGUUAACCGAGUUCUUACAGCGAGAAACCGAAAACCAGUUGCAACUGGGAAACAAGGUUGCACGGGAUAAAUGUUUAUAGAACUUCUUUUAUUGCUUUCCUCUGUUGGAUUAGUAUAACGUGAAACUUCUCGCAUAUAUUUCAUAAUUUGCCUUACGGAAUAUAAAGAAUUAUAUAAAUACGCACGUACAUUCCUUCGUUAACAGUUCACGAGACCGUAUAUUUCAUUCGGAAAUCUUCCACAAUAUUCUCUCCGCAGCUCUCUCCUUCAUCUUCUUCUUCUGCUUCUUUCUUUUUCUUUUUCUUUUUUUCUUUUUUUGCAAGAUAAAAGAUCUGCAAUUAAAAUAAAGAAUUAGAUAGUUAACAAGAAUUACUUGCCGUUAUCAAAUGUCACCACGUUUAUUCGUCGACUUGACAGUAUAUUUCCGCGUUGGCCGUGAACGUCGCCGCGAAUUUAAUAGUCGAUGUAAGACAUCGCAUUUAAUUAGGCUAAUUUACGAGUGGCGCGUGCAACGACAAGAAGACGAACGUUAAGCAAACAGAGACCGCAUAAUUCUAGUCUACGCAUUACUAACGAGCAUAAUUAGAUUUAUGCGGAAGUAUAUUAGAAAGACGACUUCGAAUGGAGGGGUGCAAGAUACACGAUAAUGGCGCCAUAUGCAUAAACGCCCCAUAGUAAACUGUGUAGUGCACGUGUGCGUGUACAGAAAGAUGCGAUAUCAUAGUCAGCUGCGCUGCAUAAACUUGCUCGACAUACAUACAGUAUACACUCUGGCGAGGGUAGUUUGAGGGUAGCGCGGCACCAGAGGAUGCUCGUGAACAGCGACAACACGGUUGUACCUAGACAUCACGAAACCUCGAUUCUGCCGUGUAAUUUUAUCUCCUUUUUCUCCGACGUUACGUAUGUCCCGUCUACUAUCAUGCUGUGCUGCUCUUGUUGCUUUCGAUAUGUAUUUGUCGAACGGCGGAUCGUUCUCGAGUCAAUAUCGAAUUUCUAUCGAACGACGGAACCGCAGAGAUGACCAUUGCUAGAUUUUGAGCCACCCGAUUAGAUCCUCCGUUCCAUUCGGCUGAAAUGAGAUUCGAACGGUGAAUGCGCCUUUUUCCACGUUUUUUGCCCAUCUACUUCUCUUUCGGGCGAAAAUAUGGUUUUAAUCCGAUACGUUACUUGGUCGAAGAAGUUGCAGGAUCGAUAUAGCAGGAUUAUCUAGGAGGAUGAAGUAAACAGAUUAGAGCGAGUCGAAUAGAGGAGUCGUGUGCGAAGGUCAGAAGAGAAAACACAUAUACCACGUAGUAUAUUCGGAAAAGGUUUCCGUGGAUGUUAAAAAAUAUUCUCGCCAGCCCGCUGUUAACCUAAUGUCAACUAAGUUGUUAUUACGUUGCCACGUCGUGAUGCCAUAAAAUUGAGUGUUGGAGGAGGUAACGUAAAAGAAAUUUCGCUUGGAAACUCAUUCGGAUAUGGAUCGAAGAGAAUACCAAUUAGAAACAAGAAGAAAGAAGAAGCAGGCUGUUCGAGUAAAGAGAAUUUUGUAGUACGAACUGCGUACACAGAAUUCAAUGUGAAUCUAUAAAAGAUAGAUGUGCUGUACUUAAUGACAUCGAAUUCAAUCACGUUGCGUAAUAUUUCACGCUAUUUACGUGUUCGCAGCGAGAGUUCGCGGCAAUUUACGUGACUCGAGUUAUGAAGCCAUAACAUUUGAAAAACGUUGAGAAAUAACGAAACCCUAUUUUCAGUCGAUCGAUGGAAACGACCUAACGACCAAAGUAUAAUAUUGUUAAUUUCGUACAACGGAGAAAAAAGAAUAUACGUGGAACGAUUAAUAAUAAAAGUAUGUUUCGUCGGUUUGUUUAAGAUUGAAAUCUAUGAUGAUCAGCGUAGAUUGGUUUAAUUGCGACGAACGGGAAUUGAAUUGGUUUAAAGUUAACGAGAUGUUCCUCUUUAAAUCUUGGCAGGGCUAGUUUCGCGUGUGUACCAGCGCGAAUUUCUCUUGCAAAAGAAAUAAAGUAAAAUCAGUGAAAAUCGAUAUGUGGGCCGUGUAAAUAGUUGUGCAGGAUUUUUCGUGCGAUGCGUCCUACAAAUAUUUGCAAUGUGAUCCCGUGCGUUUCAGUCCGAACAAUCGAUAAAAAAUUGAUCCGAAAUUCGGCUUUUUGUGAAAGCAGCUUUCCGUAAAAAUUAAUUUUCGUACUGGGACUCGCAUUCUUUGUGACUGUUGGUCGCGUUCAUCUUCGUGAUUCGUAUUACCGAUACGAAUGUGAAAGAAGCGUAAUAACUUUCUUUGAGCAAGAAGAUGCCUUAUAGCUGAUUCUUUCUUUAAAUCGAAGAAUGCGCGCCUUUUCGUAAUGUAAUAGACUUAUUUCGCAAUUAGAUGUCACAUCGUGCGUGAUAUAUUAUUGUUGAACAAGACGGUCCAAUAAUAAAAUGGCUCGUCACUAUACAACGGUGCACUAAGCAUAUAAUUUUCCUUUCGAUUAAUUACACAGCGCAUGAUGUUUAUUCACGAUCCUUAAAAAGAAUGUGACAAUGAAAGCUUGAAAAUCAUACGUACAAAAAAGGGUUUGAUAACGGAAUAAUAUCCACAGAUAGGACUGCCCCAUAAGUAGAUUAAAAUAGGAGCAACAAGUGUUAAAAAAAAUUCUGAUGCUAUCAAUAAACCGACACAAAACAAGGAGAACGAAUGAAGAAUAAAAGAGCGAGAAUGGAAAGGUAGGGAACUAUUAUUAAUCGCUGUAGCACAACUCAGCUAUCAAAAGUAUCCCGUUAUUAGAAGAAACAUGUCCCUCGGAGGUUGUAAAAUAGCCGCGUGAUUUUUUUUUUUAUUUUAAUUUUCUCCUUUUCAUCUUUUUCCUCUGACUCGAUCGGAGAGAUAGUGUCAAAGUCACACAGGGCUCGAACACAGAGGAUUAACCCAACCAGCAGCCGGCUGGCCGCCAGACGAUCGGCUAUUUUCGAUGUAACUUUUCCCCUUUAAAAGCGUCCAGCGGCGCUUGUCAGAACUUUCCGAUAUAGCUUUGGUCCCGAUGCUUGGUCCCGCUGGUUUAUUGUGCCCCCGGUGCUUGUCUCCUUCCGUUUGUUCAUUCCCGGAUAAAUGCAACGCCGGCCACCGGCCACGAGCAAAUAAGUCAAGUGUACCGGCGACGGUUUUAUGUACCUCCUCCUCGAGGAAUCGGAAAUUGCGGCCGGCAAAAGUAUGGUCGCUGUACACGGAGAGAACCGUUUUUGGUCGGAGCAACACCAUCGGAACCAACUUUUAGAAAUUCGUGACACAGCGAGGUAAGGUUGUCGUGUCGUUUAAGCUUCGACAGUGUAAACUUCGAUCUUCAAUUUUGCACAGUAUCGUGAAAUUUGUUGCGAAUGUUAGCGGCGACGCAUCUUCCUGACGAUACAAUGGCAGACAGCUCGCCGUUAUUUAACCUUACCGUAAUCUAUGACUGGACCGAGGCUCGAUAAAGGCCUCACCAAGGUGCUCGACGGUGAAUGUUUGGAAAGUCGAUAGCCAGCAUCUUGAGGUUGUCGAGCUUCGUAGCUCGUGGUGUCGAUGAUAUGACUUGGAGCAUGCUGAGAUAGUUUACUAAUGGCAAGUGAACCGACUCGACGUUGCAUUGCCAAAGAGCAGAGACUUUGUCUAAAGGAUCUGGCUACGGAGCGGGGAACACAGUGACGCCUUUUUCAUAAGCGGACUGCGAAGGAUCGCACACGCCACUCGCACCAGAACCAUCGUGAUAUCGCGAUCGUUGACAAAUUCUUAAUAUCUAACAGAUAUUAUGAGACAUCGUGAACAUUUAUCGUAUUAACGAAAGAACGAGAAAAUAUGGUGUACUGUAAGUCCGGCAAACAGAUAUAUCGAGAACGAGAAAAUCACUCGACUAAUCUUACGGCAAACUUAUUUGAACAACGAGGAGGUAUUACGUAGAAAUUAAUAAAAUAAAUGUUGAGAAUUGUGGAUCUUAAUUGCCGAAAUAAAAGUAAAGGAACGCUAAGAUUACACUUACAAUUUAUAUGAAAAUAGUUUUAGAUUUAUUUAAUAAACGAUUGCCAGGAUCUUCGUCGAUAUACGUUUGCACGCGUCUCAGCACUCUCUUUGUCUCAUCAUCUUCCAUACUAGACUGACAACGGAACAGUUACAUUCAUGUUUUUCGAGACACCGCGCGCGCACUUACAUUCACACACUCAUAUUCACAUACAUGUGUCACUACUACGCGGCCAAUCUAGUCUAGCACACAAAAUUAUACAUAUCUCAAUAACAAAAAACAAAAUGAAAUAAAAUAAAUAAUGAAAGAAAAGACAGAUAACUUGCAGAAAUAAGGUAGUAUACGUGUAAAUGCGAUAAUGAAUUAUCAUAAUUGCAAUUGAGAAUAUUUACGUUAAUCGAACGAAUUUCUUUCAUUUCGACAAAGAAAAGCGAUAUCCUUUUGAAUCGACGCAGAAAGCUAUGGCUGUCUCAAGCUAUCGCAUAUUUCACUGUUCAUCAUGCUAUCAAUAACGAGUUUAAUAGUCGGUUUUCAAAUGUAGAUCGCUUAGAAAUUGCUCAUAACCGAAUUUGGUGAAUUACAAGGCAAAUUACCUCCACUCAAAUAUCCUUCCCGUUCAAAUAAUCCUACCUGUAGACACUUUAACCAACCACUGCCACGGAAACACGCUGGAAGAUUCCCCAAAUGAGCCGAUGUCGAAAUCUCGCUGACCUACGAUUACAUAGCGUACAAUGGCCCACAUCGUAGACUGCAUCGUAGAUUGUUUGUUUUCCUGUGAAACUUGUGUCCGAUUUGCAGUUUGAGGGGAAACUGUUUAAGUCCAUCGUUUAACAGUUUUAGCGAAACGCUAACACGAGCACGCUGUUGAGGAUGAGAGGAGAGCACUGUGUCGAGCUGGA